rnacentral:misc_RNA from 1 species
AUCUUAUGCAAUCAUUAAACAAAGAGAGGAGAGAGCACUGUGGAGGCUUGCACAGUAAGCAAUUAGCAUCAAACAAGAAGAGAGAAGAAGAAGAAGAGGAGCUGAGUAAGCCAGCAAUCUAUAUAACCCAUGAAACGCUACACCUCUCCAAUAUUAUCAUCAUUCUCUUCUCUUCUCUUUCUCCUUUCUUUAAUUUCUCUCUCUCAUUCUUUCGUAAUCGGAGCCGCCUCUGCUUUUUGCCGUGACGAAAUGACC